rnacentral:rRNA from 1 species
UUUCGCAAUGCCCGAAAGGGUGACGAAGCGACGCCGCGUGCGGGAAGAAGGCCUUCGGGUUGUAAACCGCUGUCGGGAGUUAGGAAGUGCAAGGAUGUUAAUAGCGUUCUUGCUUGACUAAGGCUCCGGAGGAAGCCACGGCUAACUCUGUGCCAGCAGCCGCGGUAAUACAGAGGCGGCAAGCGUUGUUCGGAAUUAUUGGGCGUAAAGAGCACGUAGGCGGCUGUGUAAGUCGGUUGUGAAAGCCUUCCGCUUAACGGAAGAACGGCAUCCGAUACUGCAUAGCUUGAGUGCGGGAGGGGAGAGUGGAACUUCUGGUGGAGCGGCGAAAUGCGUAGAUAUCAGAAGGAACACCGGCGGCGAAGGCGACUCUCUGGUCCGUAACUGACGCUGAGUGUGCGAAAGCUAGGGGAGCAAACGGGAUUAGAUACCCCGGUAGUCCUAGCCGUAAACGAUGGGCACUAAGUAGAGGGGUUUU